AUGAACGCUGGCGGCGUGCCUAAUACAUGCAAGUCGAGCGAACAGAUGAGGAGCUUGCUCCUCUGACGUUAGCGGCGGACGGGUGAGUAACACGUGGAUAACCUACCUAUAAGACUGGGAUAACUUCGGGAAACCGGAGCUAAUACCGGAUAAUAUAUUGAACCGCAUGGUUCAAUAGUGAAAGACGGUUUUGCUGUCACUUAUAGAUGGAUCCGCGCCGCAUUAGCUAGUUGGUAAGGUAACGGCUUACCAAGGCAACGAUGCGUAGCCGACCUGAGAGGGUGAUCGGCCACACGGGAACUGAGACACGGUCCAGACUCCUACGGGAGGCAGCAGUAGGGAAUCUUCCGCAAUGGGCGAAAGCCGGACGGAGCAACGCCGCGGGAGUGAUGAAGGUCUUCGGAUCGUAAAACUCUGUUAUUAGGGAAGAACAAAUGUGUAAGUAACUAUGCACGUCUUGACGGUACCUAAUCAGAAAGCCACGGCUAACUACGUG
rnacentral:rRNA from 1 species